GGCGGUAACUCAGUGGUAGAGGCCCCGCUUUGCAUGCGGAAAGACCGGGGUUCGAAUCCUGGCUGUC
rfam:Toxocara canis scaffold857, whole genome shotgun sequence.